rnacentral:pre_miRNA from 1 species
AGUGGAAUUUCUGGGUUGUAUGAUAAGUGUGUGUUUAGUUUUUUAAAGAAACUGUCAAGCUCUUUUCCAGAGUGACUGUACCAUUUUACAUUCCCACCAGCAAU